rnacentral:rRNA from 1 species
UACGAAGGGGGCUAGCGUUGUUCGGAUUUACUGGGCGUAAAGCGCACGUAGGCGGAUAUUUAAGUCAGGGGUGAAAUCCCGGGGCUCAACCCCGGAACUGCCUUUGAUACUGGGUAUCGUUUGAGUCCGGAAGAGGUGAGUGGAAUUCCGAGUGUAGAGGUGAAAUUCGUAGAUAUUCGGAGGAACACCAGUGGCGAAGGCGGCUCACUGGUCCGGUACUGACGCUGAGGUGCGAAAGCGUGGGGAGCAACAGG